rnacentral:rRNA from 1 species
GAUGAACGCUAGCGGCAGGCCUAACACAUGCAAGUCGAGGGGUAACUAGAGUGAUAGCAAUAUUACUUUGGCUAGACCGGCGCACGGGUGCGUAACACGUAUGCAACCUACCUUAUACUGGGGAAUAACUUCGAGAAAUCGGCGCUAAUACCCCAUAACAUUGCGAAGAGGCAUCUCUUUGCAAUUAAAGCUCCGGCGGUAUAAGAUGGGCAUGCGUCCAAUUAGCUAGUUGGUGAGGUAACGGCUCACCAAGGCUACGAUUGGUAGGGGUUCUGAGAGGAUGAUCCCCGACACUGGUACUGAGACACGGACCAGACUCCUACGGGAGGCAGCAGUGAGGAAUAUUGCGCAAUGGACGAAAGUCUGACGCAGCCAUGCCGCGUGCAGGAUGACGGCCCUAUGGGUUGUAAACUGCUUUUGUACGGGAAUAAACCCUUCUACGUGUAGGAGGCUGAAGGUACCGUAAGAAUAAGCACCGGCUAACUCCGUGCCAGCCGCCGCGGUAACAC